AUUGAACGCUGGCGGCAGGCUUAACACAUGCAAGUCGAGCGGGGACUUCGGUCCUAGCGGCGAACGGGUGAGGAAUGCUUGGGAAUCUGCCUAGUAGUGGGGGAUAACGUUUCGAAAGGAACGCUAAUACCGCACACGUCCUACGGGAGAAAGGGGGGGAUCUUCGGACCUCUCGCUAUUAGAUGAGCCCAAGUCGGAUUAGCUAGUUGGUGGGGUAAAGGCCUACCAAGGCGACGAUCCGUAGCUGGUCUGAGAGGAUGAUCAGCCACGAUGUAACUGGGACACGGUCCAGAGGCCGACGGGAGGCAGCAGUGGGGAAUAUUUGACAAUGGGGGAAACCCUGAUCCAGCCAUGCCGCGUGUGUGAAGAAGGCCUUCGGGUUGUAAAGCACUUUAAGCGAGGAGGAAGGGCUCUAGGUUAAUACCUUGGAGCAUUGACGUUACUCGCAGAAUAAGCACCGGCUAACUCUGUGCCAGCCGCCGCCGUAAAAC
rnacentral:rRNA from 1 species